rnacentral:sRNA from 1 species
UUUAAAGGUAGUUCAGCUAAGGGCGCGACGUCCUGUCGCAACGCUGAACACGGAACAUCCUGUUCG